rnacentral:rRNA from 1 species
AGUGAACGCUGGCGGUAGGCCUAACACAUGCAAGUCGAACGGCAGCACAGUAAGAGCUUGCUCUUACGGGUGGCGAGUGGCGGACGGGUGAGGAAUACAUCGGAAUCUACUUUUUCGUGGGGGAUAACGUAGGGAAACUUACGCUAAUACCGCAUACGACCUACGGGUGAAAGCAGGGGAUCUUCGGACCUUGCGCGAUUGAAUGAGCCGAUGUCGGAUUAGCUAGUUGGCGGGGUAAAGGCCCACCAAGGCGACGAUCCGUAGCUGGUCUGAGAGGAUGAUCAGCCACAUUGGAACUGAGACACGGUCCAGACUCCUACGGGAGGCAGCAGUGGGGAAUAUUGGACAAUGGGCGCAAGCCUGAUCCAGCCAUACCGCGUGGGUGAAGAAGGCCUUCGGGUUGUAAAGCCCUUUUGUUGGGAAAGAAAAGCAGCAGGUUAAUACCCCGCUGUUCUGGCGGUACCCAAAGAAUAAGCACCGGCUAACUUCGUG